rnacentral:rRNA from 1 species
UACGGGGGGGGCAAGCGUUGUUCGGAAUUACUGGGCGUAAAGGGCUCGUAGGCGGCCCUCUCAGUCGGAUGUGAAAUCCCCAGGCUCAACUUGGGAACGGCAUCCGAUACUGGAGGGCUUGAAUUCGGGAGAGGGAUGCAGAAUUCCAGGUGUAGCGGUGAAAUGCGUAGAUAUCUGGAGGAACACCGGUGGCGAAGGCGGGACUCUGGGCCGAUACUGACGCUGAGGAGCGAAAGCGUGGGGAGCGAACAGG